ACCAGUCUCUCUCUCUAUCUGUCUCUUCUCCUUCUCUGUAGAACCUUCUGAUUCAUCUUCUCCAAUGGCUCUCACCAUCUCUCCGACCACCUCCAGCCUCACCUCUUUAAACCACCAGCCCGCCGUGAAGCCUUACCUCACCGAUUCUCUCCGUCUCUGAGACCCCAUGAGUCUCCACCACACAAGAUGUUCAUUGAAGCUUUGUUGAGGUUUGUUUUAGACCUUUCUCCGAUGGAUUUUUGCCCGAUGGUGCUGUAAACACCAUUAUUCUCGAGUUUCACAGCCAGGUUUCUCUUGUGUGUCUCACUAGUUUCUUAUAAAACC
rnacentral:lncRNA from 1 species